UUGUGGACUUAAUUGGAUUUAGUUUUGGUAUGGAAACUUACCAAGUGAUCAUUUUCAAAUUCAGAGAAACCCUAGAAUUCACAAUGGACAAUCCUGAGCUAAAUCCUGUUUUCUGAAAAGAAAAAAAAAAAUUAAGAAAGUGAUAAUAAAAAAGGGAUAUGUGCAAAGACUCUAUGGAAGAUGUUCUAACAAACGAAAUUGACGACUUUUUUUUCUUGCAUUAGUAAAAUAAUUCUUUCACAAAAAUUCCAGGAAUGGAUUAAAGAUAAACAUUUAGAAACAUAUAU
rnacentral:ncRNA from 1 species